rnacentral:ncRNA from 1 species
CGGGGAUCAAAACACGUCCCGGUUGGUAGUCCGGGAGCGGCUGCAGCCGUCAGUAACCUGCCUCCUUGGUUGUCCCUUCCCUGC